GGGUCAGUAGGUUGGUCGUGCCACCGGUACGUACUGGUCUCACUGAUUCCUCCUUCCUGAAGAACCGUAAUGCCAUUAAUUUGGUGUUGCGGGGAAACAGGACUGUUACUUUGAAAAAAUUAGAGUGUUUAAAGCAAGCUAAUGCUUGAAUACAUUAGCAUGGAAUAAUGAAAUAGGACGAUCGAUCCUAUUUUGUUGGUUUCUAGGAUUGACGUG
rnacentral:rRNA from 1 species